rnacentral:lncRNA from 1 species
GCUAGGGUUAAGGUGGUAUUUUUUCCAUGAUUUUAUUCUAUAUAUCAUUUUUUCUAUUUGGUAUAGAAUCUCUCCUCCUUUGGAUAGGCUUUAAGCAACCACCAGCCAUCUACUCCUUAUGCUGCCCAAAUUUUCUGAUUUUAUUCUGAUUUCCAUAGUAAAAGAAGGAAAGGAGGCAUGGUUAAUUAGAGGAGAAGAAUUUCUUCCUUCUUCAACCUUCGUGGGUCCACAAAAUCUGCAAAACAAAGUAAGGUUUCGGCUGCCCAAAUCGAGUUUUUCAAGAAUUGGUUCCAAUUCUUUCUAAGUUUGCUCCUCAUGCAAAAUUAGUUUGGACUCUGAUUUUCUUCCAUUUAAUUCUUUCCAAGAUAGCUCUUUGCCACCCAAAAUUGGUUGCCAUAUCAGAUCUUUGUGCCAAGAAACACUAAGAAGAAUCUGGGUGUAUCGGGUGUUUUUUGUUGUAUCCAACAUUGUUACCAACUUCAACCUACUGUAGCCACCUCAUUUGGAAUCCAAAUUCAAUUCUGUAAAUUAUGUUUCUUUCUUGCUUCUCUCAAAAUUCUGUAGGAUCUAAUCUUGCUCAAUUUGGAGUCCUAUAGCUUGCCUUUUAGGGGUCCUCACACCAAAAUAUCCAGAAUUUAGAUUGGUUGACUAGAUGGGAGAGAUUAACUGCUUGAUUUAUUUUCUGCACCUGUAGUUUCUUUUCUGGCUGAUGAUGCCAAAAAGGAUAAGGUGUGGGGUCCAUUGAUAUCUUGAUUUGGUUAUUCUGCUUUGAGAUGGACUCUGAUUUUGAUGCAAGACCUGAUGACUCCGGAUGACAAACCCUGCUGAAUCG